rnacentral:rRNA from 1 species
UGGGGAAUAUUGGACAAUGGGCGAAAGCCUGAUCCAGCAAUGCCGCGUGAGUGACGAAGGCCUUAGGGUUGUAAAGCUCUUUUACCAGGGAUGAUAAUGACAGUACCUGGAGAAUAAGCUCCGGCUAACUCCGUGCCAGCAGCCGCGGUAAUACGGAGGGAGCUAGCGUUGUUCGGAAUUACUGGGCGUAAAGCGUACGUAGGCGGUGACUCAAGUCAGAGGUGAAAGCCUGGAGCUCAACUCCAGAACUGCCUUUGAAACUAGGUCGCUAGAAUCACGGAGAGGUGAGUGGAAUUCCGAGUGUAGAGGUGAAAUUCGUAGAUAUUCGGAAGAACACCAGUGGCGAAGGCGGCUCACUGGACGUGUAUUGACGCUGAGGUACGAAAGCGUGGGGAGCAAACAGGAUUAGAUACCCCCGUAGUCCCUGAGCGGGCUGGCAAGGCGCAU